rnacentral:rRNA from 1 species
GACGAACGCUGGCGGCGUGCUUAACACAUGCAAGUCGAACGGUGAAGCGCCUUCCUUUUUGGUGGGUGUGGAUGAGUGGCGAACGGGUGAGUAACACGUUAGUAACCUGCCCCCUUCUUCUGGAUAACCGCAUGAAAGUGUGGCUAAUACGGGAUAUUCUGGGUCUGUCGCAUGAUGGGUCUGGGAAAGAUUUUGUUUCGGUUGGGGAUGGGCUCGCGGCCUAUCAGCUUGUUGGUGGGGUGAUGGCCUACCAAGGCGGUGACGGGUAGCCGGCCUGGGAGGGUGGACGGUCUCACAGGGACUGAGACACGGCCCAGACUCCGACGGGAGGCAGCAGUGGGGAGUAUUGCACAGUGGGCGAAAGCCUGAUGCAGCGACGCCGCGUGAGGGAUGGAGGCCUUCGGGUUGUGAACCUCUUUCGCCAGUGAAGCAGGCCUGCCUCGUUUGUGGGUGGGUUGACGGUAGCUGGAUAAGAAGCGCCGGCUAACUACGUG